CACCGCGGUUAUACGAGAGGCCCAAGCUGACAGCUACCGGCGUAAAGAGUGGUUAAUAACCCCGCCAUACUAAAGCCGAACAUCUCCAAAGUUGUACAACGCACUCGAAGACAUGAAGACCUGCCACGAAAGUGACUUUACACUCUUUGAACCCACGAAAGCUAAGAAA
rnacentral:rRNA from 1 species